rnacentral:rRNA from 1 species
AGUGAACGCUGGCGGUAGGCCUAACACAUGCAAGUCGAACGGCAGCACAGUAAGAGCUUGCCCUUACGGGUGGCGAGUGGCGGACGGGUGAGGAAUACAUCGGAAUCUACUUUUUCGUGGGGGAUAACGUAGGGAAACUUACGCUAAUACCGCAUACGACCUACGGGUGAAAGCAGGGGAUCUUCGGACCUUGCGCGAUUGAAUGAGCCGAUGUCGGAUUAGCUAGUUGGCGGGGUAAAGGCCCACCAAGGCGACGAUCCGUAGCUGGUCUGAGAGGAUGAUCAGCCACACAGGAACUGAGACACGGUCCAGACUCCUAAGGGAGGCAGCAGUGGGGAAUAUUGGACAAUGGGCGCAAGCCUGAUCCAGCCAUACCGCGUGGGUGAAGAAGGCCUUCGGGUUGUAAAGCCCUUUUGUUGGGAAAGAAAAGCAGCAGGUUAAUACCCCGCUGUUCUGACGGUACCCAAAGAAUAAGCACCGGCUAACUUCGUG